GCUUACGGCCACACCACCCUGAACACGCCCGAUCUCGUCCGAUCUCGGAAGCUAAGCAGGGCCGGGCCUGGUUAGUACUGGAUGGGAGACCGCCUGGGAAUACCAGGCUGUAAGUU
rnacentral:rRNA from 1 species